rnacentral:piRNA from 1 species
UUCAUGCCUAGAGUCAUAGCCAGCU